UUCCCUAUGGCUCAGCAGUAAAGAAUCUGCCUGCAAUGCAGGAGAUCCAGGUUUGAUUCCUGGGUCGGAAA
rnacentral:tRNA from 1 species